UAAUACGGAGGGUCCAAGCGUUAAUCGGAAUUACUGGGCGUAAAGCGCGCGUAGGCGGUUUAGAAAGUUGGAUGUGAAAUCCCUGGGCUCAACCUAGGAACUGCAUUCAAAACUUCUAAGCUAGAGUGGGAGAGAGGGAAGUAGAAUUUCUGGUGUAGCGGUGAAAUGCGUAGAUAUCAGAAGGAAUACCAAUGGCGAAGGCAGCUUCCUGGCUCCAAACUGACGCUAAGGUGCGAAAGCGUGGGUAGCAAACAGGAUUAGAUACCCUGGUAGUCCACGCCGUAAACGAUGACAACUAGCCGUUGGGCAGAAUUAACUGUUCAGUGGCGCAGCUAACGCAUUAAGUUGUCCGCCUGGGGAGUACGGCCGCAAGGCUA
rnacentral:rRNA from 1 species